rnacentral:rRNA from 1 species
GCGUGCUUAACACAUGCAAGUCGAACGGAAAGGCCCUGCUUUUGUGGGGUGCUCGAGUGGCGAACGGGUGAGUAACACGUGGGUAACCUGCCCUUGACUUUGGGAUAACUUCAGGAAACUGGGGCUAAUACCGGAUAGGAGCUCCUGCUGCAUGGUGGGGGUUGGAAAGUUUCGACGGUUGGGGAUGGACUCGCGGCUUAUCAGCUUGUUGGUGGGGUAGUGGCUUACCAAGGCUUUGACGGGUAGCCGGCCUGAGAGGGUGACCGGCCACAUUGGGACUGAGAUACGGCCCAGACUCCUACGGGAGGCAGCAGUGGGGAAUAUUGCACAAUGGGCGGAAGCCUGAUGCAGCAACGCCGCGUGCGGGAUGACGGCCUUCGGGUUGUAAACCGCUUUCGCCUGUGACGAAGCGUGAGUGACGGUAAUGGGUAAAGAAGCACCGGCUAACUACGUGCCAGCAGCCGCGGUGAUACGUAGGGUGCGAGCGUUGUCCGGAUUUAUUGGGCGUAAAGGGCUCGUAGGUGGUUGAUCGCGUCGGAAGUGUAAUCUUGGGGCUUAACCCUGAGCGUGCUUUCGAUACGGGUUGACUUGAGGAAGGUAGGGGAGAAUGGAAUUCCUGGUGGAGCGGUGGAAUGCGCAGAUAUCAGGAGGAACACCAGUGGCGAAGGCGGUUCUCUGGGCCUUUCCUGACGCUGAGGAGCGAAAGCGUGGGGAGCGAACAGGCUUAGAUACCCUGGUAGUCCACGCUGUAAACGGUGGGUACUAGGUGUGGGGUCCAUUCCACGGGUUCCGUGCCGUAGCUAACGCUUUAAGUACCCCGCCUGGGGAGUACGGCCGCAAGGCUAAAACUCAAAGGAAUUGACGGGGCCCCGCACAAGCGGCGGAGCAUGCGGAUUAAUUCGAUGCAACGCGUAGAACCUUACCUGGGUUUGACAUGGAUCGGGAGUGCUCAGAGAUGGGUGUGCCUCUUUUGGGGUCGGUUCACAGGUGGUGCAUGGCUGUCGUCAGCUCGUGUCGUGAGAUGUUGGGUUAAGUCCCGCAACGAGCGCAACCCUUGUUCACUGUUGCCAGCACGUUAUGGUGGGGACUCAGUGGAGACCGCCGGGGUCAACUCGGAGGAAGGUGGGGAUGACGUCAAGUCAUCAUGCCCCUUAUGUCCAGGGCUUCACGCAUGCUACAAUGGCUGGUACAGAGAGUGGCGAGCCUGUGAGGGUGAGCGAAUCUCGGAAAGCCGGUCUCAGUUCGGAUUGGGGUCUGCAACUCGACCUCAUGAAGUCGGAGUCGCUAGUAAUCGCAGAUCAGCAACGCUGCGGUGAAUACGUUCCCGGGGCUUGUACACACCGCCCGUCAAGUCAUGAAAGUUGGUAACACCCGAAGCCGGUGGCCUAACCGAAGUGGGGGAGCCGUCGAAGGUGGGACUGGUGAUUA